CGAUCGAAGUCAGUCGUGCUGGGGCGAAAUCAACCCUCUCGUCUUGAGGUCACAUGGCGCGACGAGCCUCAAAACCGUCACGAAGCGUGAACUCUUGAUGAAAAGGUGCACUUUCGUGUCCGCUGGUUAACAUCAAUUUCGAACGUCAUAAAAAGGCUGGAGGGAUGUGGCUCCUUCGGGAGUGUUAUAACCUUUAGCGGAAUGUGGUGUUCGGGAUUGAGGAUUGCAACGAAUACCUUCAGGGCUGUUCCACCUGGCUUCUCUU
rnacentral:rRNA from 1 species